rnacentral:rRNA from 1 species
ACAUCCAGAGAACUUAGCAGAGAUGCUUUGGUGCCUUCGGGAACUCUGAGACAGGUGCUGCAUGGCUGUCGUCAGCUCGUGUUGUGAAAUGUUGGGUUAAGUCCCGCAACGAGCGCAACCCUUAUCCUUUGUUGCCAGCGGCUCGGCCGGGAACUCAAAGGAGACUGCCGGUGAUAAACCGGAGGAAGGUGGGGAUGACGUCAAGUCAUCAUGGCCCUUACGGCCAGGGCUACACACGUGCUACAAUGGCGCAUACAAAGAGAAGCGACCUCGCGAGAGCAAGCGGACCUCAUAAAGUGCGUCGUAGUCCGGAUUGGAGUCUGCAACUCGACUCCAUGAAGUCGGAAUCGCUAGUAAUCGUAGAUCAGAAUGCUACGGUGAAUACGUUCCCGGGCCUUGUACACACCGCCCGUCACACCAUGGGAGUGGGUUGCAAAAGAAGUAGGUAGCUUAACCUUCGGGAGGGCGCUUACCACUUUGUGAUUCAUGACUGGGGUGAAGUCGUAACAAGGUAAGCGUAGACGU